ACUCCUGCGGGAGGCAGCAGUGGGGAAUAUUGGACAAUGGGCGCAAGCCUGAUCCAGCCAUGCCGCGUGAGUGAUGAAGGCACUAGGGUUGUAAAGCUCUUUCACCGGUGAAGAUAAUGACGGUAACCGGAGAAGAAGCCCCGGCUAACUUCGUGCCAGCAGCCGCGGUAAUACGAAGGGGGCUAGCGUUGUUCGGAUUUACUGGGCGUAAAGCGCACGUAGGCGGACUAUUAAGUCAGGGGUGAAAUCCCGGGGCUCAACCCCGGAACUGCCUUUGAUACUGGUAGUCUUGAGUUCGAGAGAGGUGAGUGGAAUUCCGAGUGUAGAGGUGAAAUUCGUAGAUAUUCGGAGGAACACCAGUGGCGAAGGCGGCUCACUGGCUCGAUACUGACGCUGAGGUGCGAAAGCGUGGGGAGCAAACAGGAUUAGAAACCCCAGUAGUCCCA
rnacentral:rRNA from 1 species